CCCUGCAGCCUCGGCCCAGCCCUGAGGGCAGCGGCACCCCAGGAGCAGAGCUCAGCUCCCAGCCCUGCUGGAAGCCCUCCUCGACAGCUGCGAGGCACCUCAGAGGCAGCUCUGUGGCUACUGAGGUAGAGAGGGAUGGUGAAUGUGGCCACAGGCAGCACGAAAAGUUUCCCCAGAAGUUUCAGGGGAUACUAUUUCCUUGAAAGAUCAUUUUCAAGGCUGCACUAACGAUCAGCAGGUUUGCUAAAGAAGCACCUUCAUGUCAGAGUUCACUUGAUGCUCCAGAAGACAGAUGUUCCUUUAACUGGCCAGUAAUGAGGAAUAAAGGCAAGACACUCAGCUGAAGCUGGACCUUUGCCUCCACAUCCAUCAGGAGGACCCUGGGGACAGCAGCAUUUCCCAAUGAAGCCACCUGCACGAGGAUGGCAAGUGGCCACUCCCAGCAGCUGCCCUGGCUCUGCUCAGCGUCCUCCCCUCUACUGAACAAGAGAUUUGGGGGGCACAGAGGGGGAAUGGCACAACUAGGAGCAUUUUACUGGCUAUAGGGAAAAAAAAAGUAAUAAAAAAAAAGAAUUAUGGAGGAACACUUCUCACAGAAAAAAACAGGGAACAGUUUCUUUAGAAAAUGAAAAUGAAAAGAUAUGAGAAGAUUUAUAAAGGAUGAAGUGGUACCACAAGUGAAGAAUGAUGUAAAGAGGUUCCUCAUUCCAUCAUCUAGGAUGUUAGAAUAUGGGAAUAACAUUGCAGACAGCAGAAUUUUUUGUUUUCCAUUACCUUUCAUUCAGAUUUUAAGUUAAGAAAGAUUAAAAAACCUUCAAGAGCAGUAUUUUCUUUCCAUGUCUACUAGAAGACACCGCAAUAAAUCAAACACAAGCUGUACCUCCAGAGCCCCAUUAUUAUCAAGAAUUGCCUGUUAUUUCUA